AUUUAGCCCCGAUAGAAGUGCGUAUCCUUUUUGGGCUGGGGUUCAGCCCAAAAGAUACUGCGGAUAGCGGGACGAAUC
rfam:Flavobacterium frigoris strain DSM 15719 genome assembly, contig: Ga0131223_114